CUGAGGUGUCCUAACACGGGAGUGUAAUAAAACUCAUUUUAGCCGAGUUUAGGGUGUCUUUUAAGUCCAUCAAUAGUUUGGGGACUGAAGUUGCAAAAUGUGCCAAGUUCAGGGGCGUUUUAAUCACUUCAGCCUUUUUUUUUUUUGGUUCAGUGUUUCUCCUGGUUUGUUCUUGAUGUGGGUGUUUUUCCAGUUUUUUAGUUUCUACUUGGAGGAGCGUAGGAAGCUCAUAUUAUAAAUUCUACCCAUUUCCCGGAGACAUUGCUAUGCUGUUGUACUGCAGUACGGUUAGAACUAUUGUCAGCUUAGCUUACCAAUCAUUAAAUGCGACUAUGAUGCCUUAUACUUGAAGAUACCACGAUCCCGUUAAACUUGGAGAUGUAUGUUAGUUCCUCCGAUCGAGGCAGAUCAUUUCGAUUGCGUGUGCCCUGGGGGAGGACUUAGCAAUACUUACUAGACACCUGUGUAUCCAUAAGCUGCUAGUAAAUCAGAUAUCUUCAACCUCUCCACGUGUUUCAUUCACU